CUACCUUUACGGUUACUCUCGUCUUGUAUUAAUUCCAGAAUAACUGCUUAUCACUUGUCCACAUCGCGAUCACGACACAGGUAACACAUCACAUACAGCUCUCCGCCAACGAGAAGUGUUCAGAUAUCGCGGGUUUCUUCUUUGGUAUACGGGUUUUACUGUAGCUGUAGUGUAUCAACAGUGCAUUCGAAGAAAGACAGAACACUAACAACAUGACUACGACAACACUAGCGGUGGCACUCUUCACUCUUAGUGCAUUUCUUCUUUUGGACGCCGGGGUCGCCUAUCCAUUUCGACUCAACGAUGACAAAAGGGCCGACGACGAAUUAUUUGACAGGGCCGAUAUAGACGAUGGCGAUUUCGAAACAAUGUGGAGGAGAGCGUAUUCACCAAUCAGCGCAGUCGACACGUCAAUCAAGGAUUAUUCCUCUAUCCUUUCUUGUUCCGUCGGUCAAGUAUGCAAGCCCGCUGCCAAGACCAAGUUCUCAUGUAAAUGCAACAUAUUCACAUACUGCGUGGCGCCUGGUAAAUACGCAGCUGCUCAGUGCAAAUGGAGUGCGGUGGGUUAUGUAUAUAAACAACCAUAAAUCAUGCACAAGUUUACACAGAUAAUUCCUACCGUCUUGCAAAUCACGGUUACGUACACAGUUAUCCUGCUUUUGUUUUUGUCGCUGCCUUUGACAAAGAUUAAUAACAAAUGAAUAUAUUCUAAAGAUUCCGGAUCGAACAUUUCUUCCAAGCACCUUGAAGUUACAGUAAUACUAUUUCGAAUUAUAUGAAUUUGCGUACUGCGCAUGUCCACACUGUUAAAAGGUGUACGUUUUCAAUGUGACGGCUGAAUUUGAAUCGUAUUACUUUUAUUAUCUUAAUUAACAUACACCUGCUUGGAAGAGUGCUAUACUCGUUAAUUUCGAAUGGCCCGUAAACUUCCUUCAAUAAUUUAGCAAGCCACCCCACAAAUUUAACAUGUAUCUACAAUAUUUAAAUCAAGAGUUAAUAUGUAUAAAUUUUAAUAAUUACUAUAUAUACAACUAUCAAAAUUUGGGAUUAGAACAAGAUAUUAAGUUUAAAAAAAAAAGAUUCGCUUCACUGUCUUUCAAAUGUAAAGAAUGCGCAUGCGUAGAUAUGUAGAUGGUAUUCGCAAGCUGAAUGUUGUUCUCUAUCUCACCUGUGCCUGGCUCUUUCUACUAGAAGAUAUCAGUCAUAUUCUGUAGUUUCUUAAUUAAGUUAAUAAAAGUAUAUUUCUUCCU